UACAGAGGGGGCAAGCGUUGUUCGGAAUCACUGGCGUAAAGCGCACGUAGGCGGACUCUUAAGUCGGUGGUGAAAUCCUGGAGCUCAACUCCAGAACUGCCUUCGAUACUGAGAGUCUUGAGUCCGAGAGAGGUGAGUGGAACUGCGAGUGUAGAGGUGAAAUUCGUAGAUAUUCGCAAGAACACCAGUGGCGAAGGCGGCUCACUGGCUCGGUACUGACGCUGAGGUGCGAAAGCGUGGGGAGCAAACAGGGAUUAAGAU
rnacentral:rRNA from 1 species